CACGUAGGGUCCGAGCGUUGUCCGGAAUUACUGGGCGUAAAGAGCUCGUAGGUGGUUUGUCGCGUUGUUCGUGAAAACUCACAGCUCAACUGUGGGCGUGCGGGCGAUACGGGCAGACUAGAGUACUGCAGGGGAGACUGGAAUUCCUGGUGUAGCGGUGGAAUGCGCAGAUAUCAGGAGGAACACCGGUGGCGAAGGCGGGUCUCUGGGCAGUAACUGACGCUGAGGAGCGAAAGCGUGGGGAGCGAACAGG
rnacentral:rRNA from 1 species